rnacentral:rRNA from 1 species
CUACGGGAUGCUGCAGUGGGGAAUAUUGCACAAUGGGCGCAAGCCUGAUGCAGCCAUGCCGCGUGUAUGAAGAAGGCCUUCGGGUUGUAAAGUACUUUCAGCGGGGAGGAAGGGAGUAAAGUUAAUACCUUUGCUCAUUGACGUUACCCGCAGAAGAAGCACCGGCUAACUCCGUGCCAGCAGCCGCGGUAAUACGGAGGGUGCAAGGGUAAUCGGAAUUACUGGGCGUAAAGCGCACGCAGGCGGUUUGUUAAGUCAGAUGUGAAAUCCCCGGGCUCAACCUGGGAACUGCAUCUGAUACUGGCAAGCUUGAGUCUCGUAGAGGGGGGUAGAAUUCCAGGUGUAGCGGUGAAAUGCGUAGAGAUCUGGAGGAAUACCGGUGGCGAAGGCGGCCCCCUGGACGAAGACUGACGCUCAGGUGCGAAAGCGUGGGGAGCAAACAGGAUUAGAUACCCCCGUAGUC